GACGAACGCUGGCGGCGUGCUUAAUACAUGCAAGUCAACUGAACUUGAAGUAGCAAUAUUUCAAGGGAGGUGGCGCACGGGUGAGUAACACGUAGGUAAUCUGCCUUUAGGUCUGACAUAAUUCCGCGAAAGCGGGACUAAUUUCAGAUGAUGCAGCGGCUCGACAUCGAGACAGUUGUUAAAUCUUCGGAGCCUAAAGAUGAGCCUGCGUCUGAUUAGGUAGUUGGCGGAGUAAAAGCCCACCAAGCCUGCGAUCAGUAGCUGGUCUGAGAGGAUGAUCAGCCACACUGGAACUGAGACACGGUCCAGACUCCUACGGGAGGCAGCAGUAAGGAAUAUUGCUCAAUGGCCGAAAGGCUGAAGCAGCAACGCCGCGUGGAGGAUGAAAUACUUUUGUAUGUAAACUCCUGUAAGAGGGAAAAUAUUCGAUUUAUCGGAAUUGAUUGUACCUUCAGAGUAAGCACCGG
rnacentral:rRNA from 1 species